rnacentral:lncRNA from 1 species
ACAGUCGGAACUACUUUCAGGAGGCGGUCACGUGUGUUCCUAGUUGGGGAACUUUCCAAAUUCCCAUUACCCCGUAUAGCUCGAGAGGCAAGUGCUUCGCUUUCUUCACCCGGGGUGCACCUUCUGCGGACAGCGGGACCCCAGAGCCUCCUGGGUCGCGGCAGCAACACAAGCUCGGGCGAGCCUCCCGCCGGAGCGCUGUCGGGGCUGACGCCUGGGGACCUGGUUACACAAGCACCCACAUCCAAGCACGUGCCCCCACCUCCCCGCACCACUGGCCGCCGCCGCUGAUUCUUGCAGACCACCGUGCCAGCGUUUUCAGGCUGGUCCCACCCUUCGCCUGCUACCCAGAGAGCAAGCUAAAGGGCCGAGACCUGAGACUCCUUGCUCCGGAUCAGCUAACUGCGCGUUCCCAACCGUGGGAGAAAGGGCUGGGCCCGGGGGUCUGGCGCAACUCCCUCGCUAGUACCCUGCCCCUUAGGGCGAACCUUGCUGGUGCUGUGCUUCGCGGGGCAAAAGGGUAUCUCCUACAGCAGCCUGCUGCUUGAAUACACCGAUGUUGCAACAAACUUGCAAUCACUACACCUGAGCUGGUGAGCGCGCCCCACCUACUGUAGACUCAGCCAAGUGACUUUUCUGGUCGGAGAACCUAGUCAGUGGCCGGCGGCCCAGAACAAACCUGUUAAGUCUGCUUACAGCCCGGAUUGGUUGACCCGUCUCAUGAGAGCUGGUUCGGAAAUGCUGAGAACUGGAGCGCAUUUACCUCGACACUGAUCAGCUGCAAAGCGAGUUGUCCACCUUUUGCUUGGAGAGACUGGGCAUCAAUCAACACCAAUUUAGGAAUUUCUUCCUUUUCUUUCCCCUGGGAAGUAGAACUGCAGGAGACAAUUUAAGUCCAAAAGUAUCUAGGUUGAAACGUAGGCUGAGGUACUGGGUCGUUUUUCAGUUCUGGGAGAAUGGGGAUCAAUUUGUAUGUGUAUUGCAGGAAUUGUGAGUAGGUGCUUAGGAAAAAUCCUCUAAAGAGGAUUUAUUCAGUGUAUGAGAGUGAAGAUUGUAUAUGUGAACAUCAUAGUUGCAGGCAGCCCCUGAAGACUAGAAACCCCAAGAGAGCUAGCUUAGAAGCCACAGGCCAUUACCUAACUCCAAGACUACUAAUUAAACCAGGGGUAUUUACAAUGUUCUUAAGAGAUCUCUGAGGCUCCAUAAAACUUUGCAUUUAUAUACAACAUCCUUUUAAAAUAGCUCUGCAGGAGUUAGCAACCUGCUGAAAUUCAAUGUUGAUAUUUAUUGGAGGCUGGUUUUGUGCAUAGUCCUGGCCAGCCUGGGAGAGGUAGAGGCCACAAGUGGAAAAGGAAAUAGAGAGCCACCUGGAAAGAGUAGGUGAAAGGCCUCCAUUUAGUUUCUAAAGAUGAAAAUCCUGUUCACACCGCCUAGUGUGAGCUAAAGCUUUCUUUAUUUUACAAGUAACCAAGGAUAAGGAGUCCCUGACUUCGAGGUAUUCCACUAGAUUGCAUGGUAAGAAUCUGAGCUGUGCUUGGUUGAGUAUCAACUACUGCUAGGUGGGAAAGGGAAAAUGAAGAUGAAGUUAAAUGAAGGGAAGUAGGUUGAGGAGGGGUAAAAUGUCCCGUCUUUGCUUCUCAGGUUGCUGAUCUUGUCCUCCAGAAACCCUGUUAUUGGCACUGCCCUACACUGCCCCUCCCCGGGAGCCUACCCUACAUGUGGGUUAGUCUCACAGUGUCUGAGAAGUUCUCAAAUCCACUUCCUGGGAGGAAAAUGGAUUCAUUCCCGCCUUGUUUGUGUUAGGCAUGAGGAGAGAGGAUCCUUUUCAAUUCCCGGGGUAUGGUUAUUCUGGAGCAGAGAGAAUGUGCAUCACCAGCACUAAAGUGCUGGAAUAUGAGACAGCCCACGAACACUUCCAUCUGCUGAGGGAAGAAAAUGGGAAAUGAGUUUUGUGCUACUCUAAACAUUAGGUUCCUCUACUUCUCUCUAGUGAAGAAUGAAGGCUCACCAAUGUUGGCAGAUAUUUGGCCAGCCUGACACCAAUAUCAGGUGGUUAUUAGGAGUUCCUGAAGAAAAACCUCCUUCCCUUCCCAGUGUUAAGUAGGUUCCUGAAAGAAAUACUGAUGUAUCCUUUUUCAAUGCUUUUCUUCACUUUUUCCUUCUACUCGAGAGAUCUUCUUACCCAGGAGGUAGAGCUGAAACCUCUACUUUCUAAUG